GACGUGACUUCAGAGUUUGAUCCUGGCUCAGGAUGAACGCUGACAGAAUGCUUAACACAUGCAAGUCGAUGGGGAAGGCUGAGCUUGCUCAGCUGGUAACCAUGGCGGACGGGUGAGUAACGCGUAAGGAACUUACCUGCGGGACUGGGAUAACGGAGGGAAACUUCUGACAAGACCGGAUAAAGUUACUGGGCAGCAUUGUUUGGUAAUGAAAGGAGACGCCUGCGGAGAGUCUUGCGUCCUAUUAGCUAGUUGGUUGGGUAACGGCUGACCAAGGCGAAGAUAGGUAGCCGGCCUGAGAGGGUGGACGGCCACAAGGGGACUGAGAUACGGCCCUU
rnacentral:rRNA from 1 species